GGGCCUGUAGUCUAGUGGUUUAUGACGUCGCCUUCACAUGGCGGAGGUCCCCGGUUCGAAUCCGGGCAGGCCCA
rnacentral:tRNA from 1 species